rnacentral:rRNA from 1 species
ACGGGUAGCUGGUCUGAGAGGAUGGCCAGCCACAUUGGGACUGAGAGACGGCCCAGACUCCUACGGGAGGCAGCAGUGGGGAAUCUUGCGCAAUGGCCGCAAGGCUGACGCAGCGACGCCGCGUGAGGGAUGGAGGCCUUCGGGUUGUAAACCUCUUUCAGCAGGGACGAUUGUGACGGUACCUGCAGAAGAAGCCCCGGCCAACUACGUGCCAGCAGCCGCGGUAAUACGUAGGGGGCGAGCGUUGUCCGGAAUUAUUGGGCGUAAAGAGCUCGUAGGCGGUUUGGUAAGUCGGGUGUGAAACCUCCAGGCUCAACCUGGAGAUGCCACUCGAUACUGCCAUGACUAGAGUCCGGUAGGGGUCCACGGAAUUCCUGGUGUAGCGGUGAAAUGCGCAGAUAUCAGGAGGAACACCGGUGGCGAAGGCGGUGGGCUGGGCCGGAACUGACGCUGAGGAGCGAACGCGUGGGGAGCGAACAGGAUUAGAUACCCUGGUAGUCCACGCCGUAAACGUUGGGAACUAGGUGCGGGCGACAUUCCACGUCGUCCGCGCCGCAGCUAACGCAUUAAGUUCCCCGCCUGGGGAGUACGG